UACGUAGGGCGCAAGCGUUGUCCGGAAUUAUUGGGCGUAAAGAGCUCGUAGGCGGCUUGUUGCGUCGACUGUGAAAACCUGCGGCUCAACCGUGUGGUCUGCAGUCGAUACGGGCAGGCUGGAGUUCGGUAGGGGAGACUGGAAUUCCUGGUGUAGCGGCGAAAUGCGCAGAUAUCAGGAGGAACACCGGUGGCGAAGGCGGGUCUCUGGGCCGAUACUGACGCUGAGGAGCGAAAGCGUGGGGAGCGAACAGG
rnacentral:rRNA from 1 species